rnacentral:hammerhead_ribozyme from 1 species
AUCCAGUGACUGAUGAGUCCCAAAUAGGACGAAAUGCGCUCUAUCCUGGAU